rnacentral:rRNA from 1 species
GAAUAUUGGACAAUGGGGGGAACCCUGAUCCAGCCAUGCCGCGUGUGUGAAGACGGCCUUUUGGUUGUACAGCACUUUAAGCGAGGAGGAGGAGCUCUUGGUUAAUACCCAAGAUGCUUGGACGUUACUCGCAGACUACGCACCGGCUAACGCUUUACACGAAGCCGCGGAAAUACAGUGGGUGCAAGCGUUAAUCGGAUUUACGUGGAGUAAAGCGCGCGAAGGUGGCCAAUUAAUUCAAAUGUGAAAUCCCCGAGCUUAACUUGGGAAUUGCAUUCGAUACUGGUUGGCUAGAGUAUGGGAGAGGAUGGUGGAAUUCCAGGUGCAGCGGUGAAAUGCGUAGAGAUCUGGAGGAAUACCGAUGGCGAAGGCAGCCAUCUGGCCUAAUACUGACACUGAGGUGCGAAAGCAUGGGGAGCAAACA